AUGCAGGAUACUUACAAUGUAGCUGUGAAGUGCUGCAUUGCCUUUGCCCCCUGCUUAAAGCAUAGUUGGUACCGUCCUAGCCCUGGCCCUGGUAAUAUACCCUGCCAGGGAUGCACGGUGUCACACAG
rnacentral:snoRNA from 1 species